rnacentral:rRNA from 1 species
AUUGAACGCUGGCGGCAGGCCUAACACAUGCCAGUCGAGCGGAUGAAGGGAGCUUGCUCCUGGAUUCAGCGGCGGACGGGUGAGUAAUGCCUAGGAAUCUGCCUGGUAGUGGGGGAUAACGUCCGGAAACGGGCGCUAAUACCGCAUACGUCCUGAGGGAGAAAGUGGGGGAUCUUCGGACCUCACGCUAUCAGAUGAGCCUAGGUCGGAUUAGCUAGUUGGUGGGGUAAAGGCCUACCAAGGCGACGAUCCGUAACUGGUCUGAGAGGAUGAUCAGUCACACUGGAACUGAGACACGGUCCCGACUCCUAAGGGAGGCAGCAGUGGGGAAUAUUGGACAAUGGGCGAAAGCCUGAUCCAGCCAUGCCGCGUGUGUGAAGAAGGUCUUCGGAUUGUAAAGCACUUUAAGUUGGGAGGAAGGGCAGUAAGUUAAUACCUUGCUGUUUUGACGUUACCAACAGAAUAAGCACCGGCUAACUUCGUG